AGUCAACGCUGGCGGCGUGCCUAACACAUGCAAGUCGCACGAGAAAGGGCAGCAAUGCCUGAGUACAGUGGCGCACGGGUGAGUAACACGUGAAUGAUCUACCUCCGAGUGGGGAAUAACUGAGAGAAAUCUUAGCUAAUACCGCAUAACACUUACGAGUCAAAGCAGCAAUGCGCUUGGAGAGGAGUUCGCGGCAGAUUAGUUAGNGGCGGGGUAAUGGCCCACCAAGACGAUGAUCUGUAUCCGGCCUGAGGAGGGCGCACGGACACACUGGAACU
rnacentral:rRNA from 1 species